UACGUAGGGCGCAAGCGUUAUCCGGAAUUAUUGGGCGUAAAGAGCUCGUAGGCGGUUUGUCGCGUCUGCCGUGAAAGCCCGGGGCUCAACCCCGGGAGGCGGGCGGAUACUGUCGGGCUAGAGUCCGGAAGAGGCAAGUGGAAUUCCUGGUGUAGCGGUGAAAUGCGCAGAUAUCAGGAGGAACACCGAUGGCGAAGGCAGCUUGCUGGGACGGUACUGACGCUGAGACGCGAAAGCGUGGGGAGCAAACAGG
rnacentral:rRNA from 1 species